GAUAAGGAAGCACAACAAUGUUUGAUGGAAAUGGAAGCUACAUAAUACAGACUCUGGAUAGGUGUAUUGAUUAGAACAAACAUGAGACGGUGAUUAACCAUUUGCCGCUAGUUGCACAAGAGAAGGGUAGGGGAAAUGCUUAGUUCUUGCUGCUUUUAAGUUACUGCCAUUGACCUAGAUUGAGAACUAGACCUUGCAACACUGCAGCUGCUACUCCCCUGUCAUUCUUUUAAGCCUCAGCCCGAAAAGAAAGGAGCAGCAUGCGACUCCACGCGUCCGCACUUGAGUCACAUCGGGUUAUCUUCUCAACAUGCAUCCGCCGGACUUCAAGGCUACAAAUCUCCCUUUCAAACAGAAAGAGCCAGCCAGCUCUCCUCCUUCACCAAGUAGAGUCUUUGCCCAAUCAUUAUUCUGAUAUUGAGUAUCCAUCCUAGCCAACCCAUUAUAUUGCUAGUAAAUCUGUCCCCGUCUUCUUAGUAGUGCACUAGUUUUGGUUCAGUACAUGAUAAGAUGGCGGCAGCUAUCAAAAUAGCUCUAUCAAAUUUCUCUAAGAAUGAGCUUUUGUCUUUUAUAGUUUCACAAAGCCCAAC
rnacentral:lncRNA from 1 species